AGAGUUUGAUCCUGGCUCAGGAUGAACGCUAGCGGUGCGCUUAACACAUGCAAGUCGUGCGAUCGAAUCGGACGGAUUUCCCUUCGGGGUCUGAAGACCGGUCACGGAGCGGCGAACUGGUGAGUAACACGUAGCUAACCUACCCUCUUGACAGGAAUAACCAUUCGAAAGGAUGGCUAAUGCCCGAUGUUGUGCGGAGUUGAUGACUUCGUUCCAAAGGCGGUCUUGCCGCCACAAGGGGAGGGGGCUGCGUCCUAUUAGCUUGUUGGUAGGGUAAUGGCCUACCAAGGCGAAAAUGGGUAGCUGGUCUGAGAGGACGAUCAGCCACAUUGGGACUGAGAUACGGCCCAGACUCCUACGGGAGGCAGCAGUGGGGAAUAUUGGACAAUGGACGAAAGUCUGAUCCAGCGACACCGCGUGGGGGAUGAAGGCUUUCGGGUUGUAAACCCCUUUUCUGGGGGAAGAAUAAGGUUGGGAGGAAAUGCCCAUCCGAUGACGGUACUCCAGGAAUAAGCAUCGGCAAACCUCGUGCCAGCAGCCGCGGUAAGACGAGGGAUGCAAGCGUUAUCCGGAAUUACUGGGCGUAAAGGGCGUCUAGGCGGUUGGAUAAGUCAUUUGUGAAAUCCCAGGGCUCAACCCUGGAAGGUCUCGUGAUACUGUCCGGCUUGGGUGUAGGAGGGGAGAGCGGAACUCACAGAGUAGCGGUGGAAUGCGUAGAUACUGUGAGGUACCCCGAUGGCGAAGGCAGCUCUCUGGCCUACUACCGACGCUGAAGCGCGAAAGCGUGGGGGAGCAAAGGGGAUUAGAUACCCCCGUAGUCCACGCCCUAAACGAUGUUCACUUGGUGUCGGGAGCCUAUAUAUCUCGGUGCCGGAGCUAACGCGUUAAGUGAACCGCCUG
rnacentral:rRNA from 1 species